rnacentral:rRNA from 1 species
CGAGCGAAUGGAUUAAGAGCUUGCUCUUAUGAAGUUAGCGGCGGACGGGUGAGUAACACGUGGGUAACCUGCCCAUAAGACUGGGAUAACUCCGGGAAACCGGGGCUAAUACCGGAUAACAUUUUGAACCGCAUGGUUCGAAAUUGAAAGGCGGCUUCGGCUGUCACUUAUGGAUGGACCCGCGUCGCAUUAGCUAGUUGGUGAGGUAACGGCUCACCAAGGCAACGAUGCGUAGCCGACCUGAGAGGGUGAUCGGCCACACUGGGACUGAGACACGGCCCAGACUCCUACGGGAGGCAGCAGUAGGGAAUCUUCCGCAAUGGACGAAAGUCUGACGGAGCAACGCCGCGUGAGUGAUGAAGGCUUUCGGGUCGUAAAACUCUGUUGUUAGGGAAGAACAAGUGCUAGUUGAAUAAGCUGGCACCUUGACGGUACCUAACCAGAAAGCCACGGCUAACUACGUGCCAGCAGCCGCGGUAAUACGUAGGUGGCAAGCGUUAUCCGGAAUUAUUGGGCGUAAAGCGCGCGCAGGUGGUUUCUUAAGUCUGAUGUGAAAGCCCACGGCUCAACCGUGGAGGGUCAUUGGAAACUGGGAGACUUGAGUGCAGAAGAGGAAAGUGGAAUUCCAUGUGUAGCGGUGA